UCCGGUUUGUCACCGGCGGUCCCCUUAGAGUUCCCAACUUAAUGCUGGCAACUAAGGGCAAGGGUUGCGCUCGUUGCGGGACUUAACCCAACAUCUCGCGACACGAGCUGACGACAGCCAUGCAGCACCUGUGUUACGGUUCUCUUUCGAGCACUAAGCCAUCUCUGGCAAAUUCCGUACAUGUCAAAGGUGGGUAAGGUUUUUCGCGUUGCAUCGAAUUAAACCACAUCAUCCACCGCUUGUGCGGGUCCCCGUCAAUUCCUUUGAGUUUUAAUCUUGCGACCGUACUCCCCAGGCGGGGUGCUUAAUGCGUUAGCGACGGCGCGGAUCUCGUUGGUUGAGACCCACACCUAGUGCCCAACGUUUACGGCGUGGACUAC
rnacentral:misc_RNA from 1 species